UGAACGCACACAUCCAACACGUCGGGC
rnacentral:sRNA from 1 species